UCAAUUUUAAAUCAAAUUGCAAUUGAAUUUUAAUAUUUCUUGUUUUUCAGCCUGAAUUUGUUUAUUUUUUUUUACUUUACAUUGAAUUAAUUUUGAUUAUUCAAUUAUUGUUGUUGAUUUCUUAAUGCACACUAAGUGUUUGACAAAAUGCCUCAAUGAAUCCAAUUAAAAGAGGGGUGCUGGUAUGCCCCUUCUUAUAGCCUGGUCACCACCUGAUGAGGGGUGGGGAAAGCUGAGUGUUGAUGCUGGAGUUGUAGGGGAGUUAGGGACUAGUCUGGGGGCAGUGUUGCCUAACUAUAAUAAGGAUGUUUUGUGGUGCAGGGCAUCGAGUGAUGGGAGACAAAUGUAGCUGAAGCUAUUGGCUAUCAUAUGGGGUAUGAAAUUUGCGUAUGACUUGGGCUGGAGAAGUAUUAUUGUGGAAGGAGAUUGCCUUGCUGUCAGUUAGACUCAUAAGUUAAUGAAAGCUUGGAAGUAUCUCUGGGCUUCUCCUAUGUAAGAAAGAUGUGGCUACUGAAGAUACAAUCCGGAGAGCUAUGGGCAUAAUUGGUGAGCAUGAGAAAGCUAUUAUUCAACCUGAUCGCAUGUUUCUCAUAUAACUGCUAUACAGUGAUGGAAACCUCCUGAAAUUGGGGUGUUCAAGUUGAUUACCAAUGCAGCCUGCUUGGAGGAUAUUUCAUUUGGUCUGGGGGUGUUAUUCGUGACACUACAGGUGAUGUUCUGCUCGCUACUUGUUGCAGGUUGCAGGGCAAAUUUGCAAUUGAUGUUAGUGAGGCGCUGGCUGCAAGGAAUGCUUUGCAAAUCGCAAUUGAAGCAGGUCUCAAUAGAAUUAUAUUGAAGACGGACAAUACUAAACUAUACCAUCAUCUCAAGAGCAACAAACGAGAGAAAUGAGGUUGCUCACAUAUUAACACAUUUGAGUAAAUGUUAUGUUGAGAUGAGAGUCUUCCUUAAUAAAUUUGCUUGUUUGCUUUGUUUCCAAAGAAAAAAAAGUGAAACUAUUAGCUUAAAUGCUAAACUAUUUGCAUGAUUAUCCAUAAAUCUUUUGUGCAUUUGCA